GAUUCCCUUGGUAACGGCGAGUGAAGAGGGAAGAGCCCAGCACCGAAGCNUGCGGCAGUUUUGCUGUUAGGCAAUGUGGUGUGCGGGUCGGCUAGCGGGAUCGUCACUCCACUCGAAGUCCAGCAUUGAGUAUGGUUAUCACUGGAUUUGGCCCAUAGAGGGUGAGAGGCCCGUACGAGUGGAGGUUCAGAUGUGUGCGACGAUUCACCAGGUCGACCUCAGAGUCGGGUUGUUUGAGAUUGCAGCCCAAAGUGGGUGGUAAACUCCAUCCAAGGCUAAAUACUGGCACGAGUCCGAUAGCGAACAAGUACCGUGAGGGAAAGUUGAAAAGUACUCUGAAGAGAGAGUAAACAGUACGUGAAGCCGCAUGCAGGUAAACGGGUGGCGUCAAGCUGCGAGCCCGGAGGAUUCAGCUGAUUAGGAUGUAGUGUACGUGCGCCUGGUGCGUCGAGAGACCGGAAUAAGAUGUUUUUUUCUUGGCGGUCCACUCCUCUAUUAGGAGUGGGGUGCUAUUGGUAUGCAUGUGCUUGCAUGUGUGUGCCGAUAGUGGCUAUACAUGCCGGGUGGUUGCCGGAGUAUGCCGCUCAUCUGUUGGGUCACCUAAUCAGUGCAUUUUCUCCGUGGUGAACACCACGACCGGUGGAACUGCCAGUCUGCUGUUAUCAAGUCGUGUCCUUCUGACCCCUCCAUUAUUUUUUCUCUCUCUCUCUCUCUCUCUCUCUCUCCCUCUGUCUUAUAAAUAUUGCUAUCUAUCUCUCCUAUCUCUCCUUUGUGGGAGAUGUUAGUGGAUGGUGAUGGUUAUGAUAGGGGGGUUGGGGGCGGGGGAGUGCUGAGAGGAGUGGAUGUGUGUGUUGGGUGGAUACGAUCGCAGAUGGAGUUAGUAGACGGCGUAGUGGUGCAUUAGUACUGCCGCGUGUUAUCGUUUACUCUCCAUCGUAAGCGAUUAGUGGGGUUGACUAAGUACUGUGACUGCCUCUCCAUUAAUCGGCGGAUAGCAGCGGUAAAAAUGACUGUGCAGGGCACUGGAGUUAUCCACCUCAAUCAUUCCUUAAUUCAUUCAUUCAUUUUACUGUGCAUGGAUUCAUGUAUGUGUGAAUGUGAAUGAGUUGAGUGAGUGAAUAUGGCAUCCUACACGCACGUUACAGGUGCUAUAUAAUCGGGGCAUGCCGCUGUCUGUCUUGUGUUGGGCCUGACUGUCGUGUCGCCUACGAAAAGUGGGUCCGACAGUGGUUGUUAUAUACUUGGCAUUGGCAGUAUGUAGCGUGUCUCGGGUGUAUGUGAUGCUGCCACUAUUAUAAUGGGGUGAAAUAGUCAGUGGUGCUGUGGUAGAUUAGCUACCCGACCCGUCUUGAAACACGGACCAAGGAGUUUAACAUGUGUGCAAGUCAAAGGGUCCUACGAAACCCCAAGGCGCAAUGAAAGUGAAGUUCAUGCUGUACUUUUGUACGUGCGCAGUACAGUUAUGGCGAGGUGAGAUCUCCUUGUGCUCAUGACACACGCCGCAGCAUACCUUACUGGGCAAUAAUUGGGGCAAGGAGCGCAUCACCGGCCCGUCGCAUGUUGUGGUCAUAGGUGUACUUGUAUGUGGAGAGGUGUGUGGUGUACUUGUAUGUGUGCUUGUCGCGCAUAUGUGUGCAUACCACUUGGAAGCGUACAAUGCCUGUGCGUCAGCGC
rnacentral:rRNA from 1 species